GACGAACGCUGGCGGCGUGCUUAACACAUGCAAGUCGAACGGUGAAGGGGAGCUUGCUCCCUGGAUCAGUGGCGAACGGGUGAGUAACACGUGGGCAACCUGCCCCUCACUUCGGGAUAACCAUUCGAAAGGAUGGCUAAUACCGGAUAUGAGCCCUGGCGACCUCUCUGGGGUUGGAAAGUUGUUCGGGGAGGGAUGGGCCCGCGGCCUAUCAGCUUGUUGGUGAGGUAACGGCUCCCCAAGGCGAAGACGGGUAGCCGGCAUGAGAGGGCGACCGGCCACACUGGGACUGAGACACGGCCCAGACUCCUACGGGAGGCAGCAGUGGGGAAUAUUGCACAAUGGGCGCAAGCCUGAUGCAGCGACGCCGCGUGAGGGAUGAAGGCCUUCGGGUUGUAAACCUCUUUCAGUAGGGACGAAGCGCAAGUGACGGUACCUAAAGAAGAAGCACCGGCUAACUACGUGCCAGCCGCCGCAGUAA
rnacentral:rRNA from 1 species